GGCCGAGUGGCGGAAUGGCAGACGCUGGGGACUUAAAAUCCCCUGCCCGUUAGGGCGUGUGGGUUCGACUCCCACCUCGGCUA
rnacentral:tRNA from 4 species